rnacentral:rRNA from 1 species
GCUUGUCUCAAAGAUUAAGCCAUGCAUGUCUAAGUAUAAGCAUUAUACAGUGAAACUGCGAAUGGCUCAUUAUAUCAGUUAUAGUUUAUUUGAUAGUCACACUACUUGGAUAACCGUAGUAAUUCUAGAGCUAAUACAUGCACAAAGUCCUGACCUCUGGAAAGGAUGUGUUUAUUAGAUACAAUCAACCCUUCGGGUGCUUGGUGAAUCAUAAUAACUUUCGGAUCGACCUUUCGGUCGAUGCAUCAUUCAAGUUUCUGCCCUAUCAGUUGUGGAUGGUAGGGUAUUGGCCUACCAUGACUUUAACGGGUAACGGAGAAUUAGGGUUCGAUUCCGGAGAGGGAGCCUGAGAAAUGGCUACCACAUCCAAGGAAGGCAGCAGG